GAAAUAUGUCUGACAAAAGAAUUAUCUUGAUAGGAUAAAUAAUAGGGGUUUAAAUCCCCUUAUUUC
rnacentral:tRNA from 1 species